GGGUUGUGAGGUUAAGCGACUAAGCGUACACGGUGGAUGCCCUGGCAGUCAGAGGCGAUGAAGGGCGUGCUAAUCUGCGAUAAGCGCCGGUAAGGUGAUAUGAACCGUUAUAACCGGCGAUACCCGAAUGGGGAAACCCAGUGUGAUUCGUCACACUAUCAUUAACUGAAUCCAUAGGUUAAUGAGGCGAACCGGGGGAACUGAAACAUCUAAGUACCCCGAGGAAAAGAAAUCAACCGAGAUUCCCCCAGUAGCGGCGAGCGAACGGGGAGGAGCCCAGAGCCUGAAUCAGCAUGUGUGUUAGUGGAAGCGUCUGGAAAGGCGCGCGAUACAGGGUGACAGCCCCGUACACAAAAGCGCAUAUUCUGUGAGCUCGAUGAGUAGGGCGGGACACGUGGUAUCCUGUCUGAAU
rnacentral:rRNA from 1 species